GCAUGGCUAGCUCAGUUGGUAGAGCAUGAGAGUCUUAAUCUCAGGGUUGUGGGUUUGAGCCCCAUACCGGGCA